GUCUACGGCCAUGCCACCCUGAACGAGCCCGAUCCCGUCUGAUCUCGGAAGUGAAGCAGGGUCGGGCCUGGUUAGUACUUGGAUGAGAGACCACCUAGGAAGACCAGGCGCUGUAGGCA
rnacentral:rRNA from 1 species